rnacentral:rRNA from 1 species
CUACGAAGGGGGCAAGCGUUGUGCGGAAUAACUGGGCGUAAAGCGCACGUAGGCGGAAUGUUAAGUUAGAGGUGAAAUCCCAGGGCUCAACCCUGGAACGGCCUUUAAUACUGGCAAUCUAGAGACCGAGAGAGGUGAGUGGAAUUCCGAGUGUAGAGGUGAAAUUCGUAGAUAUUCGGAGGAACACCAGUGGCGAAGGCGGCUCACUGGCUCGGUACUGACGCUGAGGUGCGAAAGCGUGGGGAGCAAACAGGAUUAGAAACCCCAGUAGUCC